rnacentral:rRNA from 1 species
GACGAACGCUGGCGGCGUGCUUAACACAUGCAAGUCUAGGGGGCCCGCAAGGGUCACCGGCGAACGGGUGCGUAACACGUGAGCGACCUACCCUGGAAUGGGGGAUAGCCGGCCCAACGGCCGGGUAAUACCGCAUACGCUCUUCGAGCUGCAUGGCUUGGAGAGGAAACCUUUUGGGUUCCUGGAGGGGCUCGCGGCCUAUCAGCUAGUUGGUGAGGUAACGGCUAACCAAGGCAAUGACGGGUAGCUGGUCUGAGAGGAUGGCCAGCCACAUUGGGACUGAGAAACGGCCCAGACUCCUACGGGAGGCAGCGGUGGGGAAUAUUGCGCAAUGGUCGAAAGACUGACGCAGCGACGCCGCGUGGAGGAUGACGCCCUUCGGGGUGUAAACUCCUGUUGCUCGGGACGAACCUCCCCAUUCGUGGGGACUGACGGUACCGGGUGAGGAAGCACCGGCUAACUCUGUGCCAGCAGCCGCCGUAACAC